rnacentral:pre_miRNA from 1 species
AGCAUGGUUGUCAGACCAUAUGGCAGAAGUAUGUUUCAUUUUGUAAGAAACUACCAAAUUGUCUCCCAAAGUUAUUCUGCCAUUUUGCAUUCCCAUUCGCAGU